GGGAUUGUGGCUUAGUGGCUGAGUGCUUGCCUAGCAUGCAUGAAGCCCUGGGUUCGAUUCCUCAGUACCU
rnacentral:tRNA from 1 species